rnacentral:rRNA from 1 species
CACCUGUUUAUCAAAAACAUGUCUUAUUGAAAAUAAUUUUAAGUCUAAUCUGCCCAAUGAAAAUUUUAAUGGCUGCAGUAUCAAUAACUGUACAAAGGUAGCAUAAUAAUUAGUUUUUUAAUUAAAAACUAGAAUGAAAGAUUAAAUGAAAUAUAAACUUUAUAAAUAAAAUAAAAAUUAAAAUUAAAUUUUAAGUUAAAAUUCUUAAAUAUAAUUAAAAGACGAGAAGACCCUUUAGAAUUUUAUAUUAAUUUAAAUUAAAAUUAAAAUAUUAUUUAUAUAAAUUUAAACUAAUAUUUAAUUGGGGUAAUUUUUUAAUUUCAUAAACUUUAAAAUAAUUAAACAUUAAUUUAUGAAUUUAUAAACCUAAAAUUUAGAAUUUUAAAAUAAAUUACCUUAGGGAUAACAGCGUAAUUUUUUUUGAAAGUUCACAUUUAUAAAAAAGAUUGCGACCUCGAUGUUGAAUUAAGAUUAAAUUAAAAGCAAAAAUUUAAUAAUUUAAGUCUGUUCGACUUUUAAAAUCU